UACCUGCAGCUCGAGUGGUAACCGCUAUUAUUGGGCCUAAAGCGUCCGUAGCCGGUUUGGUAAAUAUCUGGGUAAAUCGUGAGGCUUAACUUCACGAAUUUCGGAUAGACUGCCAGACUUGGGAUCGGGGGAGGUCAGAGGUACUCCAGGGGUAGCGGUGAAAUGUUGUAAUCCUUGGAGGACCACCGGUAGCGAAGGCGUCUGACUAGAACGAGUCCGACGGUGAGGGACGAAGCCCUGGGGCGCAAACCGGAUUAGAUACACGGGUAGUCCAGGGUGUAAACGAUGUGGGCUUUGUAUUGGAGGUCCCACGUGGGCGUCCAGUGCAGAAGAGAAGUUGUUAAGCCCACCGCCUGGGAAGUACGGUCGCAAGGCUGAAACUUAAAGGAAUUGGCGGGGGAGCACAGCAACGGGAGGAGCGUGCGGUUU
rnacentral:rRNA from 1 species